rnacentral:rRNA from 1 species
UACAGAGGGGGCAAGCGUUAUUCGGAAUUAUUGGGCGUAAAGGGCGCGUAGGCGGCCUGACAAGUGGAUGGUGAAAUCCCUCGGCUUAACCGAGGAACUGCCAUCCAGACGUGUUGGCUUGAGACCGGGAGAGGUGAGUGGAAUUCCCAGUGUAGCGGUGAAAUGCGUAGAUAUUGGGAGGAACACCAGUGGCGAAGGCGGCUCACUGGGACCGGUACUGACGCUGAUGCGCGAAAGCGUGGGGAGCAAACGGG